rnacentral:rRNA from 1 species
UACGUAGGGUGCGAGCGUUAGUCGGAAUUACUGGGCGUAAAGCGUGCGCAGGCGGUGAUGUAAGACAGAUGUGAAAUCCCCGGGCUCAACCUGGGAACUGCAUUUGUGACUGCAUCGCUGGAGUGCGGCAGAGGGGGAUGGAAUUCCGCGUGUAGCAGUGAAAUGCGUAGAUAUGCGGAGGAACACCGAUGGCGAAGGCAAUCCCCUGGGCCUGCACUGACGCUCAUGCACGAAAGCGUGGGGAGCAAACAGG